GACGAACGCUGGCGGCGUGCUUAACACAUGCAAGUCGAACGAUGAAGCCCUUCGGGGUGGAUUAGUGGCGAACGGGUGAGUAACACGUGGGCAAUCUGCCCUUCACUCUGGGACAAGCCCUGGAAACGGGGUCUAAUACCGGAUAACACUUCCGCUCGCAUGGGUGGAGGUUAAAAGCUCCGGCGGUGAAGGAUGAGCCCGCGGCCUAUCAGCUUGUUGGUGAGGUAAUGGCUCACCAAGGCGACGACGGGUAACCGGCCUGAGAGGGCGACCGGCCACACUGGGACUGAGACACGGCCCAGACUCCUACGGGAGGCAGCAGUGGGGAAUAUUGCACAAUGGGCGAAAGCCUGAUGCAGCGACGCCGCGUGAGGGAUGACGGCCUUCGGGUUGUAAACCUCUUUCAGCAGGGAAGAAGCGAAAGUGACGGUACCUGCAGAAGAAGCGCCGGCUAACUACGUACCAGCAGCCGCGGUAA
rnacentral:rRNA from 1 species